UUAGGUAACAUUUUUAGUAGCACUUUAAUAUUAUGUAAUAUUUUAUUGUAACACUUUGAUAUUAGGUAGCACUUGGUUGUAACACUUAAUUUGAUACGAUUAAUUUUUUUUUUAAUCCAAUAUUUUUUACUAAUAUUUUUUUAUAGAAAAAAAAUACACACUUCAUCUUAUCAAAAGAUCGACCCUCAUAACCUCACUGUUGGCUGUCUACCGACUUUCUUCCUCCCCCAAGAUUUCCUCGGCUUCCACCGCUACCUCCAUCUCGCUCCCGCUGCUCCACUGUAGCCCCGUCCAUUGCAGCCUCUCUCCAUCGCAACUCGUGCUCCACUUUAAAGACGUACCCAACGGCCCCGUGCUCCAAGUUGCCACCCCCAAAGACAGCGGUUACCACCUCCUUGCCUCCAUCCUCGCUCAGCGUCUUUCACCUUAAAGUCAGGGUUGGGCUUGUCGAGAAUCCAAAUAAUUGCGGGCGAAAGAGAUGCAGAAAUCCAAAGCAAUGCUAGUUAUAAUUGGAGACUUGGUGUUUAAUAUACAAACUACUGUUGUGUGCUAUUCUUGCUACUGCCCAAACCACCACUCCUGGCAGAGAAAUUUGUGAUAAUUGCAUCAGUUGUCACAUUUUCCAGGCUUUAAUUUUGUGGGGUAAAGAUGAUUAAUUGGCUAAUUUUCUGCAAUUUACCCAUUUUAUCUAGAUUUUGCUUGAUUUUUGAGAUUUCAUGUGUUUGAUUAGUUUAACUUUCACUUCAGUCUGAAAACAGUUAUACUUUGCUUAUCUCUCUUUCUCAUGGCUGCAUAAUCAAUUACCUCUCUAGUGAAGCUCUCAAUUAUUAGGUUACAUGACUAAUUCAAGCAAUUGGCAAGUGGAUGAUAAUGCCAAUAGGGAACCUACAAGUGGUAUGGCAAAGAGGUGAAAUAGGAGUUAUAUUGAAGGAGAAUUAGUCCUAUCAUGUAAUCAAUAUAUUGUUUUGUAUUAUAUAAAUUAGUGACUAUGUAUUUUAACUAGAAACUACGAUAUUGUUUGAGCCAUAGAGGCCAUGGUUUUUAAGUUUCUAUACUUUUAUAUUUAUUUUUCUUGAGUAGUUGUACAAGGACUAGUAGUUCAGCAUGAUAGUAUUACUUUAUCGUAAAGUGGUACUUGAGUUAUGCAAUGACUAAAGUUUGAAUGAGCAGCAAUUAGAAUAUGCAUUGACUUAGUGCUAGCAAGGCAUGUGAUUUAUGAUUUAUCUAAAUUCCACGAUGUUAGUGUAUUUUUCCUGUUCA